rnacentral:sRNA from 1 species
UACAUUUGGUUGCUCUACAUUGGUCGUGU